ACUCCUACGGGAGGCAGCAGUGGGGAAUAUUGCACAAUGGGCGCAAGCCUGAUGCAGCCAUGCCGCGUGUAUGAAGAAGGCCUUCGGGUUGUAAAGUACUUUCAGCAGUGAGGAAGGUGGUAUGUUAAUAGUACAUAUUCAUUUGAUCGUUUAGCUUGCAGAAGAAGACACCGCGUAACUCCGUGCCAGCAGCCGCGGUAAUACGGAGGGUGCGAGCGUUAAUCGGAAUUACUGGGCGUAAAGCGCAUGCAGGUGGUUUGUUAAGUCAGAUGUGAAAGCCCGGGGCUCAACCUCGGAAUAUGACAUUUGAAACUGGCAGACUAGAGUACU
rnacentral:rRNA from 1 species